GACGAACGCUGGCGGCGUGCCUAAUACAUGCAAGUAGAACGCUGAAGAGAGGAGCUUGCUCUUCUUGGAUGAGUUGCGAACGGGUGAGUAACGCGUAGGUAACCUGCCUUGUAGCGGGGGAUAACUAUUGGAAACGAUAGCUAAUACCGCAUAACAAUGGAUGACACAUGUCAUUUAUUUGAAAGGGGCAAUUGCUCCACUACAAGAUGGACCUGCGUUGUAUUAGCUAGUAGGUGAGGGAAUGGCUCACCUAGGCGACGAUACAUCGCCGACCUGAGAGGGUGCUCGGCCACACUGGGACUGAGACACGGCCCAGACUCCUACGGGAGGCAGCCGUAGGGAAUCUUCGGCAAUGGGGGCAACCCUGAACGAGCAACGCCGCGUGAGUGAAGAAGGUUUUCGGAUCGUAAAGCUCUGUUGUAAGUCAAGAACGGGUGUGAGAGUGGAAAGUUCACACUGUGACGGUAGCUUACCAGAAAGGGACGGCUAACUACGUG
rnacentral:rRNA from 1 species